GAUGAACGCUGGCGGCGUGCCUAAUACAUGCAAGUCGAGCGAACAGACGAGGAGCUUGCUCCUCUGACGUUAGCGGCGGACGGGUGAGUAACACGUGGAUAACCUACCUAUAAGACUGGGAUAACUUCGGGAAACCGGAGCUAAUACCGGAUAAUAUAUUGAACCGCAUGGUUCAAUAGUGAAAGACGGUUUUGCUGUCACUUAUAGAUGGAUCCGCGCCGCAUUAGCUAGUUGGUAAGGUAACGGCUUACCAAGGCAACGAUGCGUAGCCGACCUGAGAGGGUGAUCGGCCACACUGGAACUGAGACACGGUCCAGACUCCUACGGGAGGCAGCAGUAGGGAAUCUUGCGCAAUGGGCGAAAGCCUGACGGAGCAACGCCGCGUGAGUGAUGAAGGUCUUCGGAUCGUAAAGCUCUGUUAUUAGGGAAGAACAAAUGUGUAAGUAACUAUGCACGUCUUGACGGUACCUAAACAGAAAGCCACGGCUAACUACGUG
rnacentral:rRNA from 1 species